rnacentral:rRNA from 1 species
UACGAAGGUGGCAAGCGUUACUCGGAAUUACUAGGCGUAAAGGGCAGGUAGGCGGUCUCGUUAGUCUGUUGUGAAAGCUCCUUGCUUAACGGGGAGAGGCCAACAGAUACUGCGAGGCUUGAGUAUAGGAGAGGGUACUGGAAUUCCCGGUGUAGCGGUGAAAUGCGCAGAGAUCGGGAGGAACACCAAUGGCGAAAGCAGGUACCUGGACUAUUACUGACGCUCAGCUGCGAAAGCUAGGGGAGCAAAC